AUCAUCUGAUGGACCAGCAAGAAGAAAGAUUUGGCUCUGUCCAAUACUCACCUUUUGUCCCACUUUUAUCCCUCUGUUGUCUUUCCACCUGUCCAUCCACCCAUCUCGGUUCUUAAGAUCUUUCCUUUUCCUUUCCCCAUAUAAAAUCAUGCAUGGCUCUCCAAUUGUCCUUAAGGCCAAGACCUCAACACAAAACCCUCCCUGAUGUAGUGCCUGCCAUCCUAUCCCCAUUCUGCAUCCCCUUUGAUUACAAGUAGGACUUCUCAGGAGAGACAUGGUAGCUGAUACCCCAUGGAAGGAAUUGCUGAGCUUUUAAAGCCAGUACUCAGGAGGGACACCAGCAUGAAAUGCUGACUGACAGUCUGCGCUGGAAUUCUAAAAUCCCUAAGGAUGCUUAUGGAGAUCAGAAGACAACUUGCAGGAACUGGUUCUCUCCUACUACUGCAUUGGAUCACAGGGACUGAACUCAGGCUGUCGGGCUUGGUGACCAGUGCCUUUACACCCUGAGGCUUGUCACUGGCCCAAGGACUUUUCUUUGGAACAGGGUACAUACACCCUCUCUGAUGCACUCUGCGAGCUAACCCUGUCCUUCGUCCCCACAGCUCACCUUCUGCCACAUGGCCCUGCUGCAACAGCUCCGCAGGGCUGUGUGCUGCCAAGCCAGGUACUCAUCCACACGAGCUCGGGUCUGUAGGUCCUGAGGGUACCAGUGGUCAGGUGCCUUGUACUUUCUACUCAAAUACAGCAAGAUGGCCACACUGGAGGAAUGCAGAGGGAUAGAGAACGUUCCCUGGUCACUCUUAAGCCACCUAGGUCUCGGACUAGGGAGUGGUGUACCUGAAUUUCUGCAACCAUUUCUUACCCAGCCUGGGGAGUCUUUCAAAUGCAACAGAGAUGGGAGCUCUCCUCUCCUCAGAUUCCCCCCCCCCCAAGGGUGGGGGGGGUCCUGCCUUCCUGCAGGGAAGGUCAGAGCCUUUCGCUAUUCUCUACCACCUCCCCUCACCCCUGCGCUUGCCUGCAUCACCCCAGCAGUGCUGGCCUUAGCUCUUCAGCCUGUACCUGCGAACGGUCUAAUGUCACAGCCAGAACACAGCUCCCACAUCCCUGGGACAUCAGUACAGGAAGGUCCCUGCUUGCUUACCGCCACCUCAGCAGCCAGCUUCUCUUUCAUGUCUCACUGGGAAUCGCUAACCCUGACCCCACUACGACCUAUCUUGUCUCCGCUGUACUCUCAGCCUGUCACGUUACUGGUUACUGUCGCUCCCCACUCCGAAAUCCGAGCCCAGUGGGGGCCCAGAUUAUGAUGUGCGCAAGCUCCAGGAUUAGACAGCGACCUGGUGCUGAUGCUGCUCAACAGUUGGCAGCUGAGCUCAGUGGGCGAGCCUUGGCUUCUAGGGAAGUAGUUCCUCCCUCCUGGUGCAGCGCCACUCUCUCUCUCUCUGGCACUAUCUUUCCUCCUGAGGGCUGGGCUAUCAGGGAAGCGGCCCAGAAGCAGACUGGGCUCCCCCAUCUCCCAGCCUCCGUUUCCUCACCCGCAAGGCACAAGGGGGAUAGAUGAGGCAUACCAUGUGUUCAAAAGUCCCAUCUCAACCCCAGGUACCUGUUUGGGUUUUUACCCCGGGGCAGGCACAGAAGCCAUCAUCCAAGUAGGCAGCAGCAGGCCCAGACAGGUGGCCUGCCCCACACAGCUUGGCGGCAAGCAGGGAACCCAUUACCUCUCUGCCAAGACGAAGUCCCCAUCCUUCAAAGCCGGCACCUUCCUCAAAGGGUUCACCUGGGCAAAGGCAUCAGUGUAAUGCUGACCUGCGGAGAGACCAGAGCACAGGGCUUGAGGACUCGGGGGCUUUUAAAGGCCUGCCUGUCUCCUUCGCUACAUUCAGGCACCGGUUUUCCGCGAGAAGCCUCAGUGAAGAGGAAGCCACCACGCUGUCCGGUGGAUCCUCUCACGGAUCCAUUCGCCUCCACUCCCGUGAAGCCUGGGUCUGAGUGCCUACUCGGGUCUGAGAAAGAUUCUGCACCUGAUUCCGUGCAGAUAUGGCCCACAGUCAUCCUAAUUCAGGUGUCCAGUCCCAUUUCUGAGCCCUGAUCGCUAUAUCAGGUGAGAACUGGGUGGAUGUAAUGAGAAUUUUGGUUUCUUUCUUUUCUUUUCUUUUUUUUUUUUUUUUUUUUUUUUUUGUCGGAGCUGAGGACCGAA